UACGGAUGGGGCUAGCGUUGUUCGGAAUUACUGGGCGUAAAGCGCACGUAGGCGGCUUUGUAAGUUAGAGGUGAAAGCCCGGAGCUCAACUUCGGAAUUGCCUUUAAGACUGCGUCGCUCGAAUCCGGGAGAGGCGGGUGGAAUUCCGAGUGUAGAGGUGAAAUUCGUAGAUAUUCGGAAGAACACCAGUGGCGAAGGCGGCCCGCUGGACCGGCAUUGACGCUGAGGUGCGAAAGCGUGGGGAGCAAACAGG
rnacentral:rRNA from 1 species